rnacentral:rRNA from 1 species
UAAUACAGAGGCCUCAAGCGUUAGGCGGAAUCACUGGGCUUAAAGCGUGUGUAGGCGGACUUCUAAGUACCUUGUGAAAUCCCACGGCUUAACUGUGGAACUGCUUGGUAUACUGGUUGUCUUGAGCCACUUAGGGGCUACCGGAACAAAUGGUGGAGCGGUGAAAUGCGUAGAUAUCAUUUGGAACGCCAAUGGUGAAAACAGGUAGCUGGGAGUGUGCUGACGCUGAGACACGAAAGCCAGGGGAGCGAACGGGAUUAGAUACCCCGGUAGUCCUGGCCCUAAACGAUGUCCACUAGAUCGAAGUACCUCUGACGGUUUUUCGGUCGAAGCAAAAGUGCUAAGUGGACCGCCUGGGAAGUACGGUCGCAAGGCUA